UUCGACGCAACGCGCAGAACCUACCUGUCUUGACAUCUCGGGAAGUCAUUUGGAACAAUAUGAGUGCCUCCGCAAGAGGAGCCCGAUGACAGGUGCUGCAUGGCUGUCGUCAGCUCGUGUCGUGAGAUGUUGGGUUAAGUCCCGCAACGAGCGCAACCCUUGUCUUUAGUUGCCAUCAUUAAGUUGGGCACUCUGGAGAGACUGCCGGUGAUAAACCGGAGGAAGGUGGGGAGUGACGUCAAAUCAUCAUGCCCCUUAUGGCCUGGGCUACAAACGUAAUACAAUGGCGUAUACAAAGGGAUGCGAAAUGGUGACAUGAAGCAAAACUCACAAAGUACGUCUCAGUUCGGAUUGAAGUCUGCAACUCGACUUCAUGAAGCUGGAAUCGCUAGUAAUCGCGGAUCAGCAUGCCGCGGUGAAUACGUUCUCGGGGUUU
rnacentral:rRNA from 1 species